GCCCAAUACAUGUGCCUAAGAAAAUCUUCAUGAGCCGAUAAACAUAGUCACAAAACUAGUAACAGCCUUGUAGCCAUAGUUGGUGUAGUAUGAGCAAGUGGGGUAUGAAGUAGGUAGGUGAGUAUUGCAAUGAAAUUUCCAGCACUGCUUCCUGAAUUAAGAAAUCACAUACCCAAGUCUUAGUCGUCGUCGUCGUCGUACCGUGUGAGAACCGGGAAGAAUCUUUGCUCGUAGACUGGCUUUUGUAGUCUUUCUUUAACAAUUACAAGUUAUCUGAAUUCCCUUCAUCCUCCUAUAUAAUAUUGUUUUGGUCUUGUUCUUGUUGCAUUGUGGCUAGGCAUCUCCAUGGAAGGAAGGAGGAUGAAUCAAGUUCCUUUGUAUGAAUCAAUUUCUCUGCUCUUUUUUUUUUUCAAUCCUUGAAUCGAAUCAUUGCUUAGUUCUUGCUUUAAUUUCUCCAUUUUCUGUUGGGUCUUUGAUUGCAGGUUUAGCUCUGCAAGAGAACUGGGAAAUUUAAUUGUGACCUCCAAUCUAAUCGACUCUGCUUUGACUAAAAUUCUUGAGCUUCAAAGAGACCAAACAGCCUUGCUUUCCCCCGUUCAAUACAGAGUUUUUUUAUCCAUCUCCCAACUGCACAAUUGUAGCUUUUGUCUCUUCACCUGACUGCACUCAAAACCCUCUUCCUGGACAAGGAGAUUUAGUUCCCUCUCCUCUCUUUGACUUCCUCUGCACCGAAGAAUACAAGUCCGUCUCCAUUAACAGAGCUGCAUUAACCCUCUUUACCUCUCUCCACGAUCAUCUCUCUGGACUAAAAACUCAGGUCAAAAUAUGAUAGUUGUUUUUAUUUUCGUUUCCUUUUUGUUAACAAUUGUGAGACAUGAAACAGCUUGACCAUGAGAUCUCUCUCAUAGAGUCAAACUACCUGAAGAAGAAGAAGACGUUACACAUAUCCAUCUGCGUUGCAUCAUCGCAUUACCCAUUGAUCGGUUGUGAUUCAACUCUUAAUAGGAAGACAGUAGAACUGGUGUUGGUAUCUGUUUUUAGAUCAGCUUAUAUGUAUCUUGUUGCUAAAAAGGGAAUGUUUAGAAGUGAGAUUAAUGGGAUUAUUCUGACAUGGAUUUCAUAUGGUUACCUGUUUUGCAGUUGACUGUGAUUGAAGGUCAAUUAAUCAUCACUGGGCACUCCCUGGGAGGAGCCGUUGCUUCUCUCUUCACCUUAUGCCUGCUAGAUGAAAAUUUAUUAAAACCCAAAUGCCGCCCCUUUUGUAUCACCUUUGGUUCACCCCUCGUCGGCGGCUUUGGCCUCCAACACUCCAUAUGGAAUUCUUUCUUCCUGCAUGUAGUGUCUAACCAAGACCCAGUCCCCGGUCUCUUCCUCCCAUCUGGCAGAGGCAGAUCUACGCCCACAUCCUCCCAUUCACAAACUACCGGUUACAAGCCCUUUGGGACAUAUCUCUUGUGCUCUGAACUUGGUUGUGCUUGUUUUGACAACCCUGAUUUAAUUUUGGAAUUGCUGAAAGUCAUAUCAUCAGAGGUUGCCGGAGGAUUGCAGGAUGUUGAUUAUGGGGAGAUUUUAAGAAACCUCAAGGAGAGGGCAAUCUGCAAGGGACUUCCGCAGGUGGGUGAAAGGUUUGCAAAUCCAUUUUCAGCUGGGAUCAUCAUGGAACUUGAGACAAUUGGAUUUAAUCAAACAAAGGUAAACAGCUUUCUCCCAUCUAAUGAUGUUAUGGAACAUGGUUUACACCUCAUUAAAUACUGCAACAACUGCCCUAUUUAGAUUUACCUUCUUGUUCUUUGGGAUUUUCCAUAACUAGACUCAUUUUUUAAUUUCAUGGCAGCUGCUGCAGCAUAACAUUGAUAUCGAGACUGUGAUAAGCGCAAUGGAAGCGGAAGCAAGAAACCUAACCCAGAAAAAUAAAGCUUCCGAUGCCAAGAAACUGAAUGAAAUAAAAAUAGACAUGACCCGGCUAGAAUUGUAUAAGAAGAAUUCGAACAUGGGUUACUACGAUUGCUUCAAAAACCAGGGGUCUAAAAGGGACAUCCACGUUGAACAGUUUAGGGUAAACCUCACAGGGUACUGGGAAGGCAUGGUUGCACAAAUACAGAGGAAGCCUCAUAAGGAAGGAGCAACAUUUCGAACCCGUUGGCUCUAUGCAGGGACGGUUUAUAGAAGAAUGGUUGAACCACUGGACAUUGCUGCCUUCUACAGAGAGGGUAGAAAAGACUACAUGAAUAAAAGAUCUGCACAUUACAAGCUGUUGCAGGAAUGGUAUGAGGAAGAUGUGAAACCCCCCUCUAGAGAUAAGCUUGAUUCCAAGAAGCAAAAGGUGUCCAGUAUCCUAACUGAGGAUUCUUGCUUUUGGGCACAUGUGGAGGAGGCUAUCUUGUCAUGCGAAUUGCUCAAGAGUGAAAACUGUAAUCUUGAGGAGGGAAAAUCAUCAUGGGAUAAUCUGGUUAAGUUCGAGGAGUAUGUAAUGGAACAGAUUGACAACUAUGCAGUGUCCCCUGAGAUUUUCUUGGAGAAAAGCAGCUUCAUGAAAUGGAGGGGACUGUAUGAGGGCUACAUAGAUACUCGCAGUAAUUCCCAUAGCUCGCCAUUGAUCAGCUUUAUGAAGAAUCGUAGUUAUAGACAAUAUGGAUAGAGGGGUAAUCCAGUUUGUGUGUUGUGUGUAUUGUUUUGUGAGCAUUCAAUGGAUAGAACUAGAAAGAGUGUGACCUUUUCCUUUUUUUUUUCAGUUGCUGCCCAUAUUCUCAGCACUAUUUUCUUCCUUCUUUUCCUCAGUUUUUUUGUUAAGAAAUGAAUAUUAUGAUGUUGCCGGGAUGCACUUUCAUUUUUGUUCCAUUACAUUGUGUUUUAUUCAUAUCCUAAACAAAUAAAUGUAAACAAGAAAAUCAAAUGAGACUUCAAAGAGUCUGUUCCUUUUAAAGCAAGGGAAAAAAAGGACAUGUUUGUUUACUUCCACAGCUGGGUAGAUUCAACUCCACCAAAAUUGGCAACAACUUCCCAUUGAAAAAUUCCUUUUAAGCUUGAAUGACAUAAAACUAGAUAUGUUCCAGCUAGAAUGGUACAAGAAAGAAAUCAAAAGAUGAGCACAAUGGGUUAUUAUGACAGCUUUAGAAACCUGGGGUGUAAAAGAGACAUUAAAAUGGAACCGAGGGGAAGACAUUGUAGAACAAGUAAAGAGGAAGCCUCACCAGGAAGGGCAGCUUUGCAAACCCUCUGGCUCUGUACAGGAACGAAUUAUAGAAAGAUGGUUGAACCACUUGACAUUGCUGCCUACCACAGAGAGGGUGGAAGAAACUACAUAACCAAUGGAGGAUGUAAACAUUACACGCUAUUAGAGCAAUGAUGCAAUGAAGAGAAGGGGACUUUGUCUUCCAAUAAUUUAAGAAAAUAAAACCAAAUAAUGCCAGAAUUUGGGUUGAGAAACACCCAAAAGAUAGUGGCCCAAUAUGAAGUAGUCACAAAACUAGUAACAGCCUUGUGGCCAUAGUUGGUGUAGUAUGAGCAAGUGGGGUAUGAAGUAGGUAGGUGAGUAUUGCAAUGAAAUUUCCAGCACUGCUUCCUGAAUUAAGAAAUCACAUACUCAAGUCUUAAUCGUUGUCAUCAUACCGUGUGAGAACCGAGGAAGAAUCUUUGCUCUUAGACUGGAUUUUGUAGUCUUUCUUUAACAAUUACAAGUUAUCUGAAUUCCCUUCAUCCUCCUAUAUAAUAUUGUUUUUGGUCUUGUUCUUGUUGCAUUGUGGCUAGGCAUCUCCAUGGGAGGAAGGAGGAUGAAUCAAGUUCCUUUGUAUGAAUCAAUUUCUCUGCUCUUUUUUUUUUCAAUCCUUGAAUCGAAUCAUUGCUUAGUUCUUGCUUUAAUUUCUCCAUUUUCUGUUGGGUCUUUGAUUGCAGGUUUAGCUCUGCAAGAAAACUGGGAAAUUUAAUUGUGACCUCCAAUCUAAUCGACUCUGCUUUGACUAAAAUUCUUGAGCUUCAAAGAGACCAAACAGCCUUGCCUUCCCCCGUUCAAUACAGAGUUUUUUAUCCAUCUCCCAACUGCACAAUUGUAGCUUUUGUCUCUUCACCUGACUGCACUCAAAACCCUCUUCCUGGACAAGGAGAUUUAGUUCCCUCUCCUCUCUUUGACUUCCUCUGCACCGAAGAAUACAAGUCCGUCUCCAUUAACAGAGCUGCAUUAACCCUCUUUACCUCUCUCCACGAUCAUCUCUCUGGACUAAAAACUCAGGUCAAAAUAUGAUAGUUGUUUUUAUUUUCGUUUCCUUUUUGUUAACAAUUGGGAGACAUGAAACAGCUUGACCAUGAGAUCUCUCUCAUAGAGUCAAACUACCUGAAGAAGAAGAAGACGUUACACAUAUCCAUCUGCGCUGCAUCAUCGCAUUACCCAUUGAUCGGUUGUGAUUCAACUCUUAAUAGGAAGACAGUAGAACUGGUGUUGGUAUCUGUUUUUAGAUCAGCUUAUAUGUAUCUUGUUGCUAAAAAGGGAAUGUUUAGAAGUGAGAUUAAUGGGAUUAUUCUGACAUGGAUUUCAUAUGGUUACCUGUUUUGCAGUUGACUGUGAUUGAAGGUCGAUUAAUCAUUACUGGGUACUCGAUGGGAGGAUCCGUUGCUUCUCUCUUCACCUUAUGCCUGUUAGAAGUCAUCAAUUUAUCAAAACCCAAAUGCCGCCCCAUUUGUAUCACCUUUGGUUCACCCCUCAUAGGCGACUUUGGCCUCCAACACUCCAAUUGGAAUUCUUUCUUCUUGCAUGUAGUGUCCAACCAAGAUCUAGUCCCCGGACUCUUCCUCCCAUCCGACAGAUCUCCUCCCACAUCCUCCCAUUCACAAACUACUGGUUACAAGCCCUUUGGGACAUAUCUCUUGUGCUCUGAACUUGGUUGUGCUUGUUUUGACAACUCUGAUUUAAUUUUGGAAUUGCUGAAAGUCAUAUCAUCAGAGGUUGCCAGAGGAUUGCGGGAUGUUGAUUACAGGAAGAUUUUAAGAAACCUCAAGGAGAGGGCAAUCUGCAAGGGACUUCCGCAGGUGGGUGAAAGGUUUGCAAAUCCAUUUUCAGCUGGGAUCAUCAUGGAACUUGAGACGAUUGGAUUUAAUGAAACAAAGGUAAACAGCUUUCUCCCAUCUACUGAUGUUAUGGAACAUGGUUUACACAUCAUUAAAUACUGCAACAACUGCCCUAUUUAGAUUUAGGGCAAUGAUGAAAAUAUCAGUAAUCACGGAUAUAUCAGUAUUUCGAUUUUACGGAUAUAUCGGAUAUAUCGGAGAUAUAUCGGUAGAUAUUUUGAAAAAAAAUAUCGGCAAGCUUAAAAUUGUUAAAAACUCAUGAAAAUAUAAGAAAAUCUCAUAAUAAUAUAAUUAAAAGUAUAAUAGACAUUUUAAAGUUAUUUUAUUGAAAAUUUUGAUAUAUGUAUAACAUGAUUUAUCAUAUUUGAUAAUAAUAUCGUAUGCGUCGAUAAAAAUAUGAAUUUUAUAAGUGUACAUUUAUUAUUAAAUUACACCUAAUAUUAUGAUAUCUGAUUAUAAUAUGUCUAAUUUUAAAAUAUAUAUUAGUAUUAAAAUAUGAUCCAUUUAAUUCAAUUGUAUUAAACAAUAUAAAAUAAAUAAUGAUAUAUAUAUAUAUAUAUAUAAUUUUUUAAUAUUUAAUUAAUUAUUAAUGAUAUUAAAAACAUUAUGAAGAAAAUUAUAUAAUUUUUUAAUUUUUGGUAAUUAAUUAAAAGACUUUGCAUUUAAUUAUAAAUUAAUUAUAAUUAAUUUACUCUUUAAAAUAUUCUUAUAUUUUCUUUAUAUAAUGAAUUUAAGUAUAUAUAUAGUUGUUGCAUAUUAUAUAUUAAAGGACAACUUAGCCCAAGUGGUAAGCGAGUGAACCCCAAUGUGAGGCAUUGUAGCACGUGCACUGUAGCAUCACUGUAGCGACUCUGACUUUCGUUGACCCGCAUUGACUACACGAUAUAUCGGAGAAAAAUCACUGAUUUAUCGCCAAAUCACCAAUAAAUCGCCGAUUUCUCGCGAUAAAUACCAAAAUAUAGUGUCGAAACCCUUCGAUACACGAUUUUUCGGCGCAUUUUCUUACUUGGAUUUACCUUUUUGUUCUUUGGGAUCUUCCAUGACUCAUUUUUUAAUGCCAUUUUAUUUUCCUUUUUGUUUCUAAAUUUUUAAAAAAUCGUUUUCACUUCUUUUUUUUAAGAAAAUUUUGGCAAAUUUUGAAAAUAUAAUAUUAGUGUUUUCACUUCUUUCUUUUUUUUUUUUUUCUUUUUUUUUUUAAACUCAAUUUUCUAAAAAAUGAAAAUAGAAAAACAUUGUCUAAACAUGUUUGUAAACUUAAUUUUAUUUUUUUAUAAAUGAAAAAAAAAAUCUAAAUGAGUAAGGCUUUAUUAAUUUUAAUUUUUUUCUUUUCCUUAUAUUUUCUUAUUUUAUUCCAAAUUUUCUUGCAACCAAACAUAAUCUAAAUGUUUACAACUUUUAUUGUAAGGAAUGAAUGACACUACUUUGUGAACUUUUAUGAUAAUAUUUUGAAUCAUAAAUUGUGUUUUUUUUAGUAAUAUCAAUUUUAUUACCAAUGACUUAAUUGUUAAUAACAAAAUAUAAUAUUUAUAAAUAUUUUUAUUCUCAACAGGCUACAAUUUUUACUCUUGUGAUAAAAAAAAUUUUGUCAUAAAUUACACAUUAUGAUGAGUUUUUCUAUUUUCCUUAUCAGCCAAUUCAACAAAUAUCAUAUAUAUUGUAAUGGCUAACAAAUUUUCACAUAAAUUUUUUAUAAGAUAAAGUAGAAUGGAAUUAUUCAAUUUCAAAAAAAAAAAAAAUGGUACCUAAUGAAAAAGAUAAAAUAUAUAGAUCAUCUCGAAGAAAUCAGGAAAGAUAAAUGAUGAGACCAUAUAUAGGACCCUUGAUGGAGACUAUUUUAAUUGAAGUGGUGUGCUCCUUCCGACUCAGAACAUGUUCAGCAUUGCACACAAACUAACAUCGUCGAUCUUGAGUAUGAAAAAGGUGAUUAGAUUCCAAGGUUGUCGUUUGUCCCAACUCCUCAUAUUAGAGGUGAUGCUCAAGCUAACGUGCCUCGCAGUUGAGCCCCGGCCAAUCGGUCUAAUAUGCUUUUCCAAUGGUGAGUUUCACUGCCACCAUGUAUUACAUUAAUUCCGAUAGCGCACAAGUUGUGUUUGUGCUAUUGCUUUUUGCCCUCACAAACAUAUACACAAGAGACAUUCAGACCAGAUCUGUUCUACCAUCCUCUAGGAAAGCAUUGUAGGUCAUUUGAAAUUGGGAUUUCAGCACCAGAGUCAAAUUGCCUUCCUUCCUGAAAGAUGAGCAUUUUUUAUACUCUUACAUCGGCUUUUAUGGAAAUGAAAUCAGCUUCUCAUUCUGUUACAUUUUUCAAUUUUGCUGCCUAUAACUGCUCACUGCCUGUUUGUGAGACAUUAUCCAGAUUUUCCCUGAUCAAUUAUAGAGAGGUCAUUGGACUCAUCCAUGAUUGGAAUUUCCUGUUAUCAUUAUUUGCAAAUCAUCAACCAUUUGUCAUGAUAUCUUAAGUUAAGCUGAGCACGAAUUUCAGCUAAGAUCCUCAGAACUAGAAAUAUGCACUGCAGGUAUUACUUGAUAUGUGAAUAUCCAAUACAAUAUUUUUUUACUAAGAGGAAUACGAAUUUGAAACACUUUCCAAUAAUUUAUCAAGUCAUAUUUUCGUGCUGUCGUGAUACAUGUGUCUACUGUAUGCAUGGCUUUUCUUUUCUACACAUGCCUUUAUCUUUGCACAUGACUCUUUUGAUACACGCCAGCAUCAAGGCAAUUGCCUAAAUCUAAAUCACAUCCUUUGUGUCACGUCUUCCUUGUUACCACGGUCCUCUUGUACACCAUGGUCCCUUAAUGUAACUUGUGCCACAAGCCCUUUGUGCAUGAAUUCAAAUUGUUCAAUCAUUUCGCCAUUUACACCUUUUAAGGUCCAAUAAGCGUAUACAAGAGACUACACUCAUUCUAGAUGAUAAAGUACAUUCAACUAACUACUCUUGCUAAUGAGCAUAUCCAAGUCAAUACAUAAGAUUAAUUAUUACAUAUGGUAAUUGAAACCCUGUUUAAAUAAAUAGUGACACAAAUAUAAAAAAUAUAUAUAUUUAAAAAUAAAUAAAUAACAAUUUAGAGAAUUUCAUAACUUAGUAUCAAACCUAUUGUAGGAAAGAGUAUUAUACAAUGUAGGGUUUAGGAUCAAAGUUAACCUAAGAUCAAUUUUAAGUUUUAAGACCAAUUCAAAUUCAAAACUAAGGUUUUAAGUUUCAAAAAUAUAUCUCUUAAACCAAUUAAAUAGAAAAAAGAAAAUUACAAAGAAAAUUUCUUCCUCAUCGGUUUCUUUUAUCUUGAAAACUAAAGGAAAUAUAUAUCAAUAUUUGAGAUGGAAAUUCAUAAUCUUAGAAACACAAAGAACAAAGAGAGUAUGAAGAGACCAUACCAUGAGAGAUUUUCCAAAAGGUUGGUAAACCAUGGUAAUCACCUUUGAGUUUUGCUGAGAAAAACAAACCUUAAUUUUUAUUUUUAUUUUUUUAUCAUUUUUUCUCUUGUGGUGUACAUUUAAGAAAAACAAAUCUUAAAAAAAAAAAAAAAAAAACCAAAUAAUGCCAGAAUUUGGGUUGAGAAACACCCAAAAGAUAGUGGCCCAAUACAUGUGCCUAAGAAAAUCUUCAUGAGCCGAUAAACAUAGUCACAAAACUAGUAACAGCCUUGUAGCCAUAGUUGGUGUAGUAUGAGCAAGUGGGGUAUGAAGUAGGUAGGUGAGUAUUGCAAUGAAAUUUCCAGCACUGCUUCCUGAAUUAAGAAAUCACAUACCCAAGUCUUAGUCGUCGUCGUCGUACCGUGUGAGAACCGGGAAGAAUCUUUGCUCGUAGAGUGGCUUUUGUAGUCUUUCUUUAACAAUUACAAGUUAUCUGAAUUCCCUUCAUCCUCCUAUAUAAUAUUGUUUUUGGUCUUGUUCUUGUUGCAUUGUGGCUAGGCAUCUCCAUGGAAGGAAGGAGGAUGAAUCAAGUUCCUUUGUAUGAAUCAAUUUCUCUGCUCUUUUUCUUUUCAAUCCGUGAAUCGAAUCAUUGCUUAGUUCUUGCUUUAAUUUCUCCAUUUUCUGUUGGGUCUUUGACUGCAGGUUUAGCUCUGCAAGAGAACUGGGAAAUUUAAUGGUGACCUCCAAUCUAAUCGACUCUGCUUUGACUAAAAUUCUUGAGCUUCAAAGAGACCAAACAGCCUUGCUUUCCUCCGUUCAAUACAGAGUUUUUUAUCCAUCUCCCAAGUGCACAAUUGUAGCUUUUGUCUCUUCACCUGACUGCACUCAAAACCCUCUUCCUGGACAAGGAGAUUUAGUUCCGUCUCCUCUCUUUGACUUCCUCUGCACCGAAGAAUACAAGUCCGUCUCCAUUAACAGAGCUGCAUUAACCCUCUUUACCUCUUUCCACGAUCAUCUCUCUGGACUAAAAACUCAGGUCAAAAUAUGAUAGUUGUUUUUAUUUUCGUUUCCUUUUUGUUAACAAUUGUGAGACAUGAAACAGCUUGACCAUGAGAUCUCUCUCAUAGAGUCAAACUACCUGAAGAAGAAGAAGACGUUACACAUAUCCAUCUGCGUUGCAUCAUCGCAUUACCCAUUGAUCGGUUGUGAUUCAACUCUUAAUAGGAAGACAGUAGAACUGGUGUUGGUAUCUGUUUUUAGAUCAGCUUAUAUGUAUCUUGUUUCUAAAAAAGGUAAGUUUAGAAGUGAGAUUAAUGGGAUUAUUCUGACAUGGAUUCCAUAUGGUUACCUGUUUUGCAGUUGACUCAGAUUGAAGGUCAAUUAAUCAUCACUGGGCACUCCCUGGGAGGAUCCGUUGCUUCUCUCUUCACCUUAUGCCUGCUAGAUGGAAAUUUAUUAAAACCCAACUGCCGCCCCUUUUGUAUCACCUUUGGUUCACCCCUCAUCGGCGGCUUUGGCCUCCAACACUCCAUAUGGAAUUCUUUCUUCCUGCAUGUAGUGUCUAACCAAGACCCAGUCCCCGGUCUCUUCCUCCCAUCUGGCAGAGGCAGAUCUACGCCCACAUCCUCCCAUUCACAAACUACCGGUUACAAGCCCUUUGGGACAUAUCUCUUGUGCUCUGAACUUGGUUGUGCUUGUUUGGAAAAGCCUGAUUUAAUUUUGGGAUUGCUGAAAGUCAGAUCAUCCGAGGUUGCCGGAGGAUUGCAGGAUGUUGAUUAUGGGGAGAUUUUAAGAAACCUCAAGGAGAGGGCAAUCUGCAAGGGACUUCAGCAGGUGGGUGAAAGGUUUGCAGAUCCUUUUACAGCUGGGAUCAUCAUGGACCUUGAGAUAAUUGGAUUUGAUCAAACAAAGGUAAACAGCUAGCUUUCUCCCAUCUAAUGAUGUUAUGAAACAUGGUUUACACUUCACCAAAUACUGCAACAACUGCCCUAUUUAGAUUUGCCGUCUUGUUCUUUGGGAUCUUCCAUAACUAGACUCAUUUUUUAAUUUCAUGGCAGCUGCUGCAGCAUAACAUUGAUAUCGAGACUGUGAUAAGCACAAUGGAAGAGGAAGCCAGAAACCCAACCAAAAAAAAUAAAGCUUUCGAUGCCAAGAUUCUGAAUCACAAAAAAAAAGACAUGGCCGGGCUAGAAUGGUAUAAGAAGAAAUCAAAAGAUCUGAACAAGGGUUACUACGACUGCUUCAAAAACCAGGGGUCAAAAAGGGACAUUAAAAUUGAACAGUAUGGGGGACACCUCACAUUAUACUGGAAAGACAUGGUUGCACAAGUACAGAGGAAGCCCCAGAAGGAAGGAGCAACAUUUCGAACCCGUUGGCUCUAUGCAGGGACGGUUUAUAGAAGAAUGGUUGAACCACUGGACAUUGCUGCCUUCUACGUAGAGGGUGGAACAGACUACAUGAAGAAUGAAAGAUCUCUUCAUUACAAGCUGUUGCAGCAAUGGUAUGAGGAAGAUGUGAAACCCCCCUCUAAGGAUAAGCUUGAUUCCAAGAAGCAAAAGGUGUCUGGUAUCCUAACUGAGGAUUCUUGCUUUUGGGCACAUGUGGAGGAGGCUAUCUUGUCAUGCGAAUUGCUUAAGAGUGAAAACUGUACUCUUGAGCAGGAAAAAUCAUCAUGGGAUAAUCUGGUUAAGUUCGAGGAGUAUGUAAUGGAACAGAUUAACAACUAUGCAGUGUCCCCUGAGAUUUUCUUGGGGGAAAGCAGCUUCAUGAAAUGGUGGGGACUGUAUGAGGGCUACAUAUAUGCUCGCAGUAAUUCCCAUAGGUCACCAUUGAUCAGCUUUAUGAAGAACGGUAGUUAUACAGAGUAUCGUUAGAGGGGUAAUCCAGUUUGUGUGUUGUGUGUAUUGUUUUGUGAGCAUUCAAUGGAUAGAACUAGAAAGAGUGUGACCUUUUUCCUUUUUUUCUUCUAGUUGCUGCCCAUAUUCUCAGCACUAUUUUCUUCCUUCUUUUCCUCAGUUUUUUCUUAAGAAAUGAAUAUUAUGAUGUUGCUGGGAUGCACUUUCAUUUUUGUUCCAUUACAUUGUGUUUUAUUCAUAUCCUAAACAAAUAAAUGUAAACAAGAAAAUCAAAUAAGACUUCAAAGAGUCUGUUCCUUUUAAAGCAAGGGAAAAAAAGGACAUGUUUGUUUACUUCCACAGCUGGGUAGAUUCAACUCCACCAAAAUUGGCAACAACUUCCCAUUGAAAAAUUCCUUCUAAGCUUGAAUGACAUAAAACUAGAUAUGUUCCAGCUAGAAUGGUACAAAAAAGAAAUCAAAAGAUGAGCACAAUGGGUUAUUAUGACAGCUUUAGAAACCAUCUUACAACACAUCCAUCAGAAUUUAGACUAUUCAUAGAAACAUUCUUAACAUGUAAAUCUACUAUUGCCAUGCACGUCAACAUAGAAUUUCUAAAAUGAUUGAAUAAAAUAAAUAAAACAAAAGAAACCCUUCCAAGAGAAUUUCAUAAUCUAAUGUCAAAUCUAUUACGAAGAUGAACAUGUAAAAUUUAAGGUUUAUAAUCAAAGUCGACUUGAAUCUGAGUUUUAAAACCAAUUUGCAGUUUUUAAGUUUGGAGACUAGAUCUCUUAAACCAAUUAAAUGUAAAAAACUAAAAAGAAAACUUCUUCAAAUUUUGAAAUGAGAAUGAGAAUGCAAUUCCUAACUAGUUUCUUCAUCAAAAAUCCCGAAAAAAAAAAAAAAAGAAGAGAGAGAGAGACCAUAGACGCCAGUGUUUGGGUUUAGAACCACCCAAGAGAGAGUAGUCCAAUAUAUGGGCUUAAGAAAAUCCUCAUGGGCCUAAGCUAAGACUAGGAACAAUCUUGUAUCCGUGGUUGGUUUAGUAUGAGCAUGUGUACUGCGAAGGAAGUAGCUGAGAAUUGCAAUGGAAUUUCCAGUACUGCUUCCUGAACGAACAAAUCGCAUACCCAAGAUUUGGUCGUCAACGCCAUGCUGGGUGAGAACCGGGGAAGCAUCUUCGCUCGUUGACGAGCUUUUGUAGUCCUUCUUUAACAAUUAUAAGGCAUCUGAAUUCCCUUCAUCCUCCCACACCAUUGUUUUUGGUCUUGUUCUUGUUGCUUUGUGACUACGCAUCUCCAUGGAAGGAAGGAGGAUGAACCAAGUUCCUUUGUAUGCAUCAAUUUUACUGUUUUUUUUUUCCUUUUUAAUCUUUGGAUCGAAUCAUUGCUUAGUUCUUGCUUAAUUUCUCCAUUUUAUGUUGGGUCUUUGAUUGCAGGUUUAGCUCUGCGCGAGAACUGGGAAAUUUAAUUGUGACCUCCAAUCUAAUCGACUCUGCUUUGACUAAAAUUCUUGAGCUUCAAAGAGACCAAACAGCCUUGCCUUCCCCCGUUCAAUACAGAGUUUUUUAUCCAUCUCCCAAGUGCACAAUUGUAGCUUUUGUCUCUUCACCUGACUGCACUCAAAACCCUCUUCCUGGACAAGGAGAUUUAGUUCCCUCUCCUCUCUUUGACUUCCUCUGCACCGAAGAAUACCCUUCCGUCUCCAUUAACGGAGCCGCAUUAACCCUCUUUACCUCUCUCUACGAUCAUCUCUCUGGACUAAUAGAUGAGGUCAAAAUCUGAUACUUGUUUUAAUUUACGUUAACUUUUCGUUAACAAUUGUGAGACACGUAUAUAUAUAUAUAUAUAUAUAUAUCUUGUGGAUAAAAGGAAAGUUUACAAGUGAGAAUAGUGGCAUUUUUCUGACAGAUUUCACACCGUUGCUUGUUUUGCACUUGACUGUGAUUGAAGGUCGAUUAAUCAUCACUGGGCACUCGAUGGGAGGAUCCGUUGCUUCUCUCUUCACCUUAUGCCUGCUAGAAGUCAUUAAUAUAUCAAAACCCAAAUGCCGCCCCAUUUGCAUCACAUUUGGUUCACCCCUCAUAGGCGACUUUGGCUUCCAACACUCCAAUUGGAAUUCUUUCUUCUUGCAUGUAGUGUCCAACCAAGAUCUAGUCCCCGGACUCUUCCUCCCAUCCGGCAGAUCUCCUCCCACAUCCUCCCAUUCACAAACUACUGGUUACAAGCCCUUUGGGACAUAUCUCUUGUGCUCUGAACUUGGUUGUGCUUGUUUUGACAACCCUGAUUUAAUUUUGGAAUUGCUGAAAGUCAUAUCAUCAGAGGUUGCCGGAGGAUUGCGGGAUGUUGAUUACAGGAAGAUUUUAAUAAACCUCAAGGAGAGGGCAAUCUUCAAGGGACUUCAGCAGGUGGGUGAAAGGUUUGCAGAUCCCUUGUCAGCUGGGAUCAUCAUGGACCUUGAGAUAAUUGGAUUUGAUCAAACAAAGGUAAACAGCUUUCUCCCAAUUAAUGAUGUAGCAUGGUUUACACUCAACUUCACCAAAACCUGCAACAACUGCCCUAUUUAGAUUUGCCUUCCGGUUCUUUGGGUUCUUCUAUAACUUCUCAUUUUUUAAAUCCAUGGCAGCUGUUGCGGCACAACAUUGAUAUCAACACUGUGAUAAGGAUACUGGGAGCGGAAGCCAGAAUCCUAGCCCACAAAAAUAAAGCUUCUGAUGCCAAGAAACUGAAUGACAUAAAAAUACACAUGGCCCAGCUAGAAUGGUAUAAGAAGAAAUCAAAAGAUCUGAACAAGGGUUACUACGACUGCUUCAAAAACCAGGGGUUAAAAAGGGACAUUAAAAUUGAACAGUAUAGGGGACACCUCACAAUAUACUGGAAAGACAUGGUUGCACAAGUACAGAGGAAGCCCCAGAAGGAAGGAGCAUCAUUUCGAACCAGUUGGCUCUAUCCAGGGACAACUUAUAGAAGAAUGGUUGAACCACUGGACAUUGCUGCCUUCUACAGAGAGGGUAGAACAGACUACAUAAACAAUGGAAGAUCUCCUCAUUACAAGCUGUUGCAGCAAUGGUAUGAGGAAGAUGUGAAGCCCCCAUCCAGAGAUAAGCUCGAUUCCAAGAAACUAAAGGUGUCUGGUAUCCUAACUGAGGAUUCUUUGUUUUGGGCACAUGUGGAGGAGGCUCUCUUGUCAUGCGAAUCGCUCAAGAGUGCAAACUCUACUCUUGAGCAGAGAAAAUCAUCAUGGGAUAAUCUGGUUAAGUUUGGGGAGUAUGUAAUGGAACAGAUUGGAAACUAUGCAGUGUCCCCUGAGAUUUUCUUGGGGGAAAGCAGCUUCAUGAAAUGGUGGGGAGUGUAUGAGGACUACAUAGAUGCUUCCAAUAAUUUCUAUGGGUCACCAUUGAUCAACUUUAUGAAGGACCGUAGUUAUAGACUGUAUGGUUAGAGGGCAAUCCAGUUUGUGUAUUGUGUUUAUUGUAUUGUGAGCAUUCAAUAGAUAAAACUAGAAAGAGCGUGACCUUUUUAUGACAACUUUAGAAACCAGGGGUUAAAAGAGACAUUACAAAUUGAAUUUUUUGAGAGGAAACCUCAAGAGUAUACUGGGAAGCCAUGGUGGAACAAGUAGAGAGGAAGCUUCGGAAGGAAGGAUCAAUGGUUGAACCACUUGACAUUGUUGCCUACUUCAGGGAGGGUGUAAGAAACAACAUAACCGAGGGAAGAUCUGAACAUUAAACAUUGUACAAUUAUUGUAAAUGUCUUAUACAUUACGUGUGAAAAUACCAAAAAAAAUUAUAUUCAACAUUUAUGUUUGUAUACAAGCAAUAUUUUGGAUAGUUUGAUAUAAAAAACAAAUGAAGAAAACGAAGAAAAACAUACAAAUAUAUUUACAAUGGACAAACUUAUACAAUUAGUGUAAAUGUCUUGUAUAUUUAGUACAAAAGUCUCGUACUUUGUAAAAAUAUAAAAAUAUAGUAUUUGACUUUUAUAUAUGUGUGAAAAUGUAAAAGGAAAAAGAAAAAUAGUUAGAGCAUUUGGUACCGUGAGUGAUGACUUCACCUAAAGAAAGGUUAAUGAAUAUUAUGGUCUCGAUGGAAGAGCGACUCCGGUAAAAUAUAUGGAUUAAAUUGAUGCUUUUCUUUUGACGAUGAAGUAGUUGAGUUAUGAAUACGAGGUUUUGCUAACAACAUUGAAGGCAAGGAUUCCCUAAUAUACUCCAAUUCAUAUUCAAUUUGUAGACCUUCAACUAACUACUCUUGCUAAUGAGCAUAUCCAAGUGAAUACAUAAGAUUAAUUAUUACAUAUGAUAAUUGAAACCCUGUUUAAAUAAAUAGUGACACAAAUAUAAAAAAUAUAUAUAUUUAAAAAUAAAUAAAUAAUAAUUUAGAGAAUUUCAUAACUUAGCAUCAAACCUAUUGUAGGAAAGAGUAUUAUACAAUGUAGGGUUUAGGAUCAAAGUUAACCUAAGAUCAAAUUUAAGUCUUAAGACCAAUUCACAUUCAAAACUAAGGUUUUAAAUUUCAAAAAUAUAUCUCUUAAACCAAUUAAAUGGAAAAAAGAAAAUUACAAAGAAAAUUUCUUCCUCAUCGGUUUCUUUUAUCUUGAAAACUAAAGGAAAUAUAUAUCAAUAUUUGAGAUGGAAAUUCAUAAUCUUAGAAACACAAAGAACAAAGAGAGUAUGAAGAGACCAUACCAUGAGAGAUUUUCCAAAAGGUUGGUAAACCAUGGUAAUCACCUUUGAGUUUUGCUGAGAAAAACAAACCUUAAUUUUUAUUUUUAUUUUUUUAUCAUUUUUUCUCUUGUGGUGUACAUUUAAGAAAAACAAAUCUUAAAAAAAAAAAAAAAAAAACCAAAUAAUGCCAGAAUUUGGGUUGAGAAACACCCAAAAGAUAGUGGCCCAAUACAUGUGCCUAAGAAAAUCUUCAUGAGCCGAUAAACAUAGUCACAAAACUAGGAACAGCCUUGUAGCCAUAGUUGGUGUAGUAUGAGCAAGUGGGGUAUGAAGUAGGUAGGUGAGUAUUGCAAUGAAAUUUCCAGCACUGCUUCCUGAAUUAAGAAAUCACAUACUCAAGUCUUAAUCGUUGUCAUCAUACCGUGUGAGAACCGAGGAAGAAUCUUUGCUCUUAGACUGGAUUUUGUAGUCUUUCUUUAACAAUUACAAGUUAUCUGAAUUCCCUUCAUCCUCCUAUAUAAUAUUGUUUUUGGUCUUGUUCUUGUUGCAUUGUGGCUAGGCAUCUCCAUGGGAGGAAGGAGGAUGAAUCAAGUUCCUUUGUAUGAAUCAAUUUCUCUGCUCUUUUUUUUUUCAAUCCUUGAAUCGAAUCAUUGCUUAGUUCUUGCUUUAAUUUCUCCAUUUUCUGUUGGGUCUUUGAUUGCAGGUUUAGCUCUGCAAGAAAACUGGGAAAUUUAAUUGUGACCUCCAAUCUAAUCGACUCUGCUUUGACUAAAAUUCUUGAGCUUCAAAGAGACCAAACAGCCUUGCCUUCCCCCGUUCAAUACAGAGUUUUUUAUCCAUCUCCCAAGUGCACAAUUGUAGCUUUUGUCUCUUCACCUGACUGCACUCAAAACCCUCUUCCUGGACAAGGAGAUUUAGUUCCCUCUCCUCUCUUUGACUUCCUCUGCACCGAAGAAUACAAGUCCGUCUCCAUUAACAGAGCUGCAUUAACCCUCUUUAC
rnacentral:lncRNA from 1 species